rnacentral:sRNA from 1 species
AGAAUAUAACAAAAAGAAAAAAUUAAGAUGAGUGUUAAAAACAUCUUGAUCACUGUACAAGAUACCAACUCUAAUAAUAAAUACAUGUAAAAGUCAUCAAUUGAACGAACGAGAUUCGUUUUCGUGAGUUGCAAGAUUAAAGGAAGCAUGUAAACCUUAUGCAAGUGUUGUCUUCUCCAAGACAUAUAUGUCUAGAGUUAUUUCUCUUUAUGGGUAGAAUGACUUGGGAGAUCACAAGACACAAAGGUUAGUCAACAUAAAUCAGAAAUAACAAAUUUGUUAGCAUUCUCGUAAUUUUAAUCUUUGAAACCCUAAAGUAAAAUCCUGAAAAUUUGUUAUUUCUGAAUAUUUUACAGGUAUAAAUGGCGUUUGUGCUGAGAUUGGUACCUGGAGAAUGGAAAAGAGAUGAAAACGGAUUUUUCGAGCACGUCUCGCAUGUGGAUGGGUUUGAACUAGGAAUCUGACUGCGUGAGCAAGAUGGGUUUUCCAAAGUGGUGAUGGCGGUAAAGGAAAGGUUAGCGCUGGGUCCAGAAGACGAAAUCGAGUUAACGUAUCAAUUGUCGCAGUGGAUCAUGGGCCCUGAUUGGAAACGUGCAAACCCAAUCGAUAUAUUAGACGACGAAGACAUGACUCUGUUCAUGGCGAUAAGGGCGGAUCUAGAUGAAGUGCAUCUGCGAGUAAAGAUUAUACGAGGUGGAAAUGUUCGAAACGUUACUAGUUACCAGAGUAACAUGGAUCUAAGCGGAUCUAAUCUAAGAGUUGUAUGGGGUACCGCACUAACAAGAAUGCUGCUGCAAAACCUUUCUGGUGAAAUUGAUAACACAAUCUUUAGUACGUUAACUCAAUGGGUAGAAAAAAAAAUGUUAACUCAACGAGCAGAAAAAAACACCAACUCAUCAAAGUUGGAAGGGGAACAAUUAUAUAAACA